rnacentral:tRNA from 1 species
GGAUGUAGUUCAGUCGGUUAGAGCGUCAGAUUGUGGUUCUGAAUGUCGUGGGUUCGAGUCCCACCAUC